rnacentral:rRNA from 1 species
CAACGCGAAGAACCUUACCAGGUCUUGACAUCCCGAUGCUAUUUCUAGAGAUAGAAAGUUACUUCGGUACAUCGGUGACAGUGGUGCAUGGUUGUCGUCAGCUCGUGUCGUGAGAUGUUGGGUUAAGUCCCGCAACGAGCGCAACCCCUAUUGUUAGUUGCCAUCAUUCAGUUGGGCACUCUAGCGAGACUGCCGGUAAUAAACCGGAGGAAGUGGGGAUGACGUCAAAUCAUCAUGCCCCUUAUGACCUGGGCUACACACGUGCUACAAUGGUUGGUACAACGAGUUGCGAGUCGGUGACGGCGAGCUAAUCUCUUAAAGCCAAUCUCAGUUCGGAUUGUAGGCGGCAACUCGCCUACAUGAAGUCGGAAUCGCUAGUAAUCGCGGAUCAGCACGCCGCGGUGAAUACGUUCCCGGGCCUU